AUUGAACGCUGGCGGCAUGCCUUACACAUGCAAGUCGAACGGCAGCACGGGAGCAAUCCUGGUGGCGAGUGGCGAACGGGUGAGUAAUAUAUCGGAACGUGCCCAGUCGUGGGGAUAACGUAGCGAAAGCUACGCUAAUACCGCAUACGAUCUAUGGAUGAAAGCGGGGGAUCGCAAGACCUCGCGCGAUUGGAGCGGCCGAUAUCAGAUUAGGUAGUUGGUGAGGUAAAGGCUCACCAAGCCGACGAUCUGUAGCUGGUUUGAGAGGAUGAUCAGACACACUGGGACUGAGACACGGCCCAGACUCCUACGGGAGGCAGCAGUGGGGAAUUUUGGACAAUGGGCGCAAGCCUGAUCCAGCAAUGCCGCGUGCAGGAUGAAGGCC
rnacentral:rRNA from 1 species